rfam:Gasterosteus aculeatus cont1.007360, whole genome shotgun sequence.
CAGAUAACCUCAAACUGAGACACUGAUGAUUCUUCAGUUCAUAAGUGCUUCUCUUUGGGGUUGUCUUG